rnacentral:rRNA from 1 species
AACGUAGGAGGCGAGCGUUAUCCGGAUUCACUGGGCGUAAAGCGCGUGUAGGUGGAUCGCCAAGUCGAAUGUGAAAGCCCCUGGCUCAACUGGGGGAGGUCAUUCGAUACUGGCGGACUUGAGGGCAGGAGAGGAGAGUGGAACUCCCGGUGUAGCGGUGGAAUGCGUAGAGAUCGGGAAGAACACCAGUGGCGAAGGCGACUCUCUGGCCUGCUCCUGACACUGAGACGCGAAAGUGUGGGUAGCAAAC